rnacentral:rRNA from 1 species
UACGUAGGGGGCAAGCGUUGUCCGGAUUUAUUGGGCGUAAAGAGCGUGUAGGCGGCCUGGUAGGUCUGCUGUGAAAACUCGAGGCUCAACCUCGAGCUGUCGGCGGAAACCACUUGGCUAGAGUCCGGAAGAGGAGAGUGGAAUUCCUGGUGUAGCGGUGAAAUGCGCAGAUAUCAGGAAGAACACCUAUGGCGAAGGCAGCUCUCUGGGACGGUACUGACGCUGAGACGCGAAAGCGAGGGGAGCGAACAGG